rnacentral:rRNA from 1 species
CUAAUAUUCCAAAAAAGCUAAUUUAACCAAUAUUUGGUCCUUUCGUACUAAAAUAUUUUAAAAUAAAUGAAGAUAGAAUCCAACCUGGCUCACGCGGU